rnacentral:rRNA from 1 species
AAUGAGCCUGCGAGUUGUGGUGUCUGGCAAGGUUAAGCAAACGCGAAGCCGUAGCGAAAGCGAGUCUGAAUAGGGCGCUUAGUCAGAUGCUGCAGACCCGAAACGAAGUGAUCUAUCCAUGAGCAAGUUGAAGCUAGUGUAAGAACUAGUGGAGGACUGAACCCAUAGGCGUUGAAAAGCCCCGGGAUGACUUGUGGAUAGGGGUGAAAGGCCAAUCAAACUUCGUGAUAGCUGGUUCUCUCCGAAAUAUAUUUAGGUAUAGCGUUGUGUCGUAAUAUAAGGGGGUAGAGCACUGAAUGGGCUAGGGCAUACACCAAUGUACCAAACCCUAUCAAACUCCGAAUACCUUAUAUGUAAUCACAGCAGUCAGGCGGCGAGUGAUAAAAUCCGUCGUCAAGAGGGAAACAACCCAGACUACCAGCUAAGGUCCCUAAAUCUUACUUAAGUGGAAAACGAUGUGAAGUUACUUAAACAACCAGGAGGUUGGCUUAGAAGCAGCCAUCCUUUAAAGAAAGCGUAAUAGCUCACUGGUCUAGUGAUUUUGCGCGGAAAAUAUAACGGGGCUAAAGUAAGUACCGAAGCUGUAGACUUAGUUUACUAAGUGGUAGGAGAGCGUUCUAUUUGCGUCGAAGGUAUACCGGUAAGGAGUGCUGGAGCGAAUAGAAGUGAGCAUGCAGGCAUGAGUAGCGAUAAUUAAUGUGAGAAUCAUUAACGCCGUAAACCCAAGGUUUCCUACGCGAUGCUCGUCAUCGUAGGGUUAGUCGGGUCCUAAGUCGAGUCCGAAAGGGGUAGACGAUGGCAAAUUGGUUAAUAUUCCAAUACCAACAUUAGUGUGCGAUGGAAGGACGCUUAGGGCUAAGGGGGCUAGCGGAUGGAAGUGCUAGUCUAAGGUCGUAGGAGGUUGUACAGGCAAAUCCGUAUAACAAUACUCCGAGAACUGAAAGGCUUUUUGAAGUCUUCGGAUGGAUAGAAGAACCCCUGAUGCCGUCGAGCCAAGAAAAGUUUCUAAGUUUAGCUAAUGUUGCCCGUACCGUAAACCGACACAGGUGGGUGGGAUGAGUAUUCUAAGGCGCGUGGAAGAACUCUCUUUAAGGAACUCUGCAAAAUAGCACCGUAUCUUCGGUAUAAGGUGUGGUUAGCUUCGUACUAGGAUUUACUCCGAAAGCGAAGAAACUUACAACAAAGAGUCCCUCCCGACUGUUUACCAAAAACACAGCACUCUGCUAACUCGUAAGAGGAUGUAUAGGGUGUGACGCCUGCCCGGUGCUCGAAGGUUAAUUGAUGGGGUUAGCAUUAGCGAAGCUCUUGAUCGAAGCCCGAGUAAACGGCGGCCGUAACUAUAACGGUCCUAAGGUAGCGAAAUUCCUUGUCGGUUAAAUACCGACCUGCAUGAAUGGCGUAACGAGAUGGGAGCUGUCUCAAAGAGGGAUCCAGUGAAAUUGUAGUGGAGGUGAAAAUUCCUCCUACCCGCGGCAAGACGGAAAGACCCCGUGGACCUUUACUACAGCUUGACACUGCUACUUGGAUAAGAAUGUGCAGGAUAGGUGGGAGGCUUUGAGUAUAUGACGCCAGUUGUAUAUGAGCCAUUGUUGAGAUACCACUCUUUCUUAUUUGGGUAGCUAACCAGCUUGAGUUAUCCUCAAGUGGGACAAUGUCUGGUGGGUAGUUUGACUGGGGCGGUCGCCUCCCAAAUAAUAACGGAGGCUUACAAAGGUUGGCUCAGAACGGUUGGAAAUCGUUCGUAGAGUAUAAAGGUAUAAGCCAGCUUAACUGCAAGACAUACAAGUCAAGCAGAGACGAAAGUCGGUCUUAGUGAUCCGGUGGUUCUGUGUGGAAGGGCCAUCGCUCAAAGGAUAAAAGGUACCCCGGGGAUAACAGGCUGAUCUCCCCCAAGAGCUCACAUCGACGGGGAGGUUUGGCACCUCGAUGUCGGCUCAUCGCAUCCUGGGGCUGGAGCAGGUCCCAAGGGUAUGGCUGUUCGCCAUUUAAAGCGGUACGCGAGCUGGGUUCAGAACGUCGUGAGACAGUUCGGUCCCUAUCUGCCGUGGGCGUAAGAAGAUUGAAGAGAUUUGACCCUAGUACGAGAGGACCGGGUUGAACAAACCACUGGUGUAGCUGUUGUUCUGCCAAGAGCAUCGCAGCGUAGCUAAGUUUGGAAAGGAUAAACGCUGAAAGCAUCUAAGCGUGAAGCCAACUCUAAGAUGAAUCUUCUCUAAGCUCUCUAGAAGACUACUAGUUUGAUAGGCUGGGUGUGUAAUGGAUGAAAGUCCUUUAGCUGACCAGUACUAAUAGAGCGUUUGGCUUAUCUUUAAUAAAGCAU